ACCAGGUGUAGUGGCAUACACCUGUAGUCCCAGCUACUCAGGAGGCUGAUGUGGGAGGAUUUCUUGAGCCCAGGAGUUUGAAGCCAACCUGGACAACACAGUGAGAUCCCAUCUCAA
rnacentral:sRNA from 1 species